rnacentral:rRNA from 1 species
UACAGAGGUCUCAAGCGUUGUUCGGAUUCAUUGGGCGUAAAGGGUGCGUAGGCGGCGCGGUAAGUCGGGUGUGAAAUCUCGGAGCUUAACUCCGAAACUGCAUUUGAUACUGCCUUGCUCGAGUACUGGAGAGGAGAUUGGAAUUUACGGUGUAGCAGUGAAAUGCGUAGAUAUCGUAAGGAAGACCAGUGGCGAAGGCGAAUCUCUGGACAGUUACUGACACUGAGGAACGAAAGCCAGGGGAGCAAACGGG